CUCUGUGGUCAUACCACCCUGAAUCCACCUUGCUUCACCUGAUCUGAGAAGAUGUAUAAGACAGGAUCUGGUUAAUACUUGGACAGGGAAGAGACUGCUUGGGAACACUAAGUGCCAUAGGCU
rnacentral:rRNA from 1 species